rnacentral:rRNA from 1 species
GAACGACUCUCGGCAACGGAUAUCUCGGCUCUCGCAUCGAUGAAGAACGUAGCGAAAUGCGAUACUUGGUGUGAAUUGCAGAAUCCCGUGAACCAUCGAGUCUUUGAACGCAAGUUGCGCCCGACGCCUUCCGGCCGAGGGCACGUCUGCCUGGGUGUCACGC